GUCUAUAUUUCAUAUCAUUUUGCAGUUUUACAUUCGUAUUUGUAUUUGAGUUUCAACUGUAAAUUGUUUUCAAGAAUUUUGUAAUAAAAAUGAAGUUUGUCUGUUAGUUUAUGUUUUGAUUGUUUCCAUUUCAAAAUUAUUCAGUGUUGUCCACGUACAAGUUGUUAUAUAAAAAUUGUUGUCCUCCUUACGAUGGCAGUACAGCAGAUCAUUCGAUACAUGCUGAGACAAGAAUUCACAUUUCUACCACUAUGCUAAAUAUCAAUAUGCUACGUUGAAAAUUGUACUAGACGGUACUGCUAAUAAUAAUGGUUUUGUGCAACGUGCGUGUAAUGGAUGGCAGUACAGCAGAUCAUUCAAUACACGCUGAGACAUGAAUUCACAUUUCUACCACUAUGCUAAAUAUCAAUAUGCUACGUUGCAAAUUGUACUGACAUUGUAUUGACAUUCAAAUAUUACAUUUAAGAUGAUACUUCAUACACACAAUAAAACAUGAUUUUACAUGAUGGCAGUACAGCAGAUCACUCGAGGCAUGCUGAGACAUGAAUUAACAUUUCUAUCACUUUGGAAAGUUACAACAUCUUCCGUUGAAAAUUGGAAUAGAAGAUGGCAGUAUAUCAGAUCAAUCGAGGCACGCUGAGACACGAAUUCACAUUUCUACCACCAAGGAAAGUAUCAACAUACUAUGUUGAAAAUGGACUAGAAGAUACUGAUAAUAAUAUUGGAUUUAUGCAAUGUGCGUGCAAUGGUUAUUGAAUAUAAUUGAUACUAAAUUAAUAGCUGUGAAACAAUUGAGAUUUGUUAAAUAUCUGAAUAAAAUAAUAGUAAACAACUUUA